rfam:Camelus ferus unplaced genomic scaffold scaffold1683, whole genome shotgun sequence.
GAGGGUAUAGCUCAGUGGUAGAGUGCCUGCUUAGCAUGCACAAGGUCCUGGGUUCAAGCCCCCGUACCUCCA